rnacentral:rRNA from 1 species
UACGAAGGGGGCUAGCGUUGUUCGGAUUUACUGGGCGUAAAGCGCACGUAGGCGGACUAUUAAGUCAGGGGUGAAAUCCCGGGGCUCAACCCCGGAACUGCCUUUGAUACUGGUAGUCUUGAGUUCGAGAGGGGUGAGUGGAAUUCCGAGUGUAGAGGUGAAAUUCGUAGAUAUUCGGAGGAACACCAGUGGCGAAGGCGGCUCACUGGCUCGAUACUGACGCUGAGGUGCGAAAGCGUGGGGAGCAAACAGG